rnacentral:lncRNA from 1 species
AUAGUUUCUUGAGAAUCAUUUCAGAAAGUUCAGUGAUAUGGGUAUGGCAAGGACUGAAGAAGUGGACCCCUCAAAAUGCUAAGGCAAGCAUUGGCAAAAGCUCAAGACUCCAUUUUUGGUUUAGUGAUCCAAGAUCACAUUGAGUCUAUAGGAAAGCCAAUACUAUUAAAAGGGGAUGAGGUUAUGAUAAUGAUCUGGUUGCUCAAAGUGCUUAGUGAUAUAUCUCCUAAACUAUCAGCAACUCUCACUUCCAUAAUACACUCAUAAGUAAUCUCGGUCCCACCGAUUUUCCAAACCCAGUCACACCGAGAUGAACCACCUCAGCCAUAUAGCCAAACCCUAGAAUUCUCGGAUUUUCCGAUUCUGAACUCGGUCUCACCGAAACUUGAGUUGCCAAGCUUCUGUAACCUUCUGUCAUCAAAUCGGUGUCACCGAGAUGAUGAAGUCGGUCCCACCGAGAUUGGCAAGCUCUUGUCUUUGGACGAAUCGGACUCACCGAGUUUGUAUUUUCGGUCCCACCGAAAAUCCCAACGUUCACAUGAUUUGAACUUUCGGUCUCACCGAGUUGUCAACUUCGGUCUGACCGAGAUUGGUCAAAUGUGUGUAACGGUUGGAUUUUGUGUGGAGGCUAUAAAUACCCCUCCACCCCCUCUUCAUUCGUGGAGAGAGCCAUCAGAAAGAACUACCACUCCUACCUUACAUUUCUGAGAAGAGAACUACCUACCCUUGUGUUGAGAUCAAGUAGCUCCACUCCCACCAUAUGAAACUUGAUCUCUAGCCUUCCCAAGUUGCUUUCCACUCAAUCCUUUCUUCCACCACAGCCAAAUCAGUGAGGAGAGUUGAGUGUUGGGGAGAUUAUCAUUUGAAGCACAAGAGCAAGGAGUUCAUCAUCAUCAACACCAUCUAUUACCUUUUGGAGGGUGGUGCCUCCUAGAUUGGUUAGGUGUCGCUUGGGAGCCUCCGUCGAGAUGUGGAGUUGAACCAAGAAGUUUGUAAGGGCAAGGAGAUCGCCUACUUCAUGAAGAUCUACCCCGAGUAAGGCUAGCCCUCCGUGGGCGUAGGCCAUGAUGGCAUAGACAAGGUUGCUUCUUCGUGGACCCUUCGUGGGUGGAGCCCUCCGUGGACUCUCGCAGCCGUUACCCUCCGUGGGUUGAAGUCUCCAUCAACGUGGAUUGACGAUAGCACCACCUAUCGGAACCACGAGAAAAAAUCUCCGUGUCUCCAAAUUGCGUUUGCUCUUCUCCACCUCUCUUUACUACAUGUGCAAUUUACUUUCCGCUGCCUAUACUCUAGAAUUGCAUGUGUAGGGUGAUACUUGACUUGAUCAUCAUUGUGAACUUGCCAAAAACUUGUCUUUAUCAAAAGGCUGAAUUUUUAUAUUGUCAAGUAGUCUAAUCACCCCCCCCUCUAGACAUACUUUCGAUCCUACAAGUGGUAUCAGAGCUUUGGUCUCCAUUGUAUUGGUUUCCAUUGCAUUGGACUCCAUAAGCUUGGUUUCACAACCUAGGAGAGUAUGGCGUCUAGUGAGGGUAAUUUUCGUAGAGGUCCUUACUUUGAUGGUACAAAUUUUGCUAGUUGGAAGCAUAAAAUGAAAAUGCAUAUUCUUGGUCAUAACCCAGCCGCAUGGGGCAUUAUUUAUGUUGGUUUGCAAGGUGAGUUCUUCGAGGAAGGAAAAGUUCCGGAUCACGAAGCUACAACGGAUGAAUUGCGGAUGUUGCAAAACAAUGCUCAAGCUUGUGACAUUCUAUUCAAUGCUUUGUGUCCCGAGGAGUUCAACAAAAUCAGCCGUCUUGAGAAUGCAAAAGAGAUUUGGGAUACUUUGGUUGAAAUGCACGAAGGUACCGAGUCCGUGAAGGAAUCAAAGCUAGAUAUUCUUCAAGGUCAACUUGACAAGUUCAAGAUGAAGGAUGGUGAAGGAGUCGCUGAAAUGUACUCUAGGCUUGCGCUCAUCACAAAUGAGAUUGCCAGCUUAGGAAGCGAAGAAAUGACCGACCGAUUCAUCAUCAAAAAGAUUCUCAGAGCUUUGGAUGGAAAGUAUGACACCAUGUGCACUUUGAUCCAAAUGAUGCCAAACUACAAGAAUCUCAAGCCAACCGAAGUCAUUGGAAGAAUUGUAGCUCAUGAAACAACUCAAGAAGAUCAUAGAGAGCUCCUAAGAUCUCAUGAGAAGCUACGCUUCGAGAAGCUCAAUCUAGAGCAAGAACAUGAGUUCCUAAAAGCAAUCAAUGACGAUCUUCGAAAGAAGAGUUCUUCAUAUCUUGCCAACCGACUUCUCUUGUCUAAUUUCUUGCCACCUAUUAAAACUAAGCAUGACAAGCAUAAGAAAAAUUCUUCAUCUAGAAGCAACAAUAUUGGUUCUAGUAGUUCUCUUGAUUCCACUAACAAUGUUUCAAGCCAAGUUACACUUGAGCAAGAAAAUAGUUUAUUGAAAGGGAUUAUAGAGAAAGGUGUCUACAAAAGCCUUGCCGGAAGCAAGAACUUUGAGGAAAUUAUUCGCAAGCAAAGGAGGCACCGGAUGAAUCAAGGAAUUGGUUUUGAGCGAAAGUUCAACGCCGAGGGUGUUGAAUGGGAAGAAGGUCAAUAUACCACUCCAAAGUUUGUUUCUCAAAAGGAGAAGUACGAUCCUACUUCUUCCAAUGUGGAACAAGCUCAAGAUGAUCUUCCACCACAAGACCACAAGCUAAAAGACAAGGACAAGCUUCAAGAGGAGAAUGAUGCAUUUAUUGAAGCACCUAAAGCCAUGGUCAAGUGGGUUCCCAAGGAAACGUCAAGUUCUACUUCGUCAAGCUCAACUACAACCCCAAGGAUUCCCAUCAAGAUGAUGUGGAUCCCGAAGAAGAAGAACUAGAGAGUUCUUGAGGGUGACUCCGCCAACAUACUUCACUCAUAUUCAUCUUGGCAAGAACUUGUGCAAUCAACUUCCACAUCUUGCACUAGUUCAUGGAGUCACAAACCCUCUUGUUGGUAAGUCAAGGGACAAGGUAAUCAUAGCUCUCAUGGACAUCAUCCAUUGUGUACUUCAUUCUAUGUCCAUGGAUAUCCUUGUUUGUUCCUUGUGGGACUAACCCAUGUAGGUAUUGAAAGUGCCCGAAUCCAAAGGCUUGCUCCCAACUCUUGAUGAUCUUCAUCAACAUUGAGCAUCCACAUCUUCAACAUCUACAUGAAGUCUUCUACGCAACCCAAGGUUAGUUUGACCCUUUAAAAGGGGUUCUCACAUCUAGGGGGAGCUUUGCUCUAAAGAAUUGAGCUAAAGCAUCUUCAAAUGAUGUGAACACAUCAAUGCUUUAUGUAAAAGUGGUAACCCCACUUGUGCUUAAACGAUGAGUAUGACCUAUGAUCAAAUGUUCUCAUUUGACUCCUAAGUCAAUAUACUCAUAUAUAGAUGACCUAGUCAUCGACAAAUUGUGUGAUAGUAGCUAGAGUUUUGAUUGUGCAUGUUUGACACAUAUUUCAUUUGCUAUCUUAUUGUGUGAGCAUGUUGGAUGCAUGAUUUAAUCCAUUCGAGGACAUCCAUUUGUUGCUUUGGUCUUUUUGAUUUUUUUUCUGACCAAAUGGAUGGACAAGAAUGCCUAAGUACCUCCCCUAGCUAUCUAUGCUUUCUUGUCUCAAAUUCUAUUCAUGCUUACAUCACAAACUUUGAACAAGUCAUUUUCGGACCCUCCGAGUGAGGAGCACUCGGAGCCACCGAUCCGUCAAGGGCUAACUUCCAAAACCUUCUAAGUGAUUUCGGUCAAACCAACCCACUCAAACUCGGUCAAACCGAAAGCAUUUGGAUUGAUCUAGGUUUUCACCUCGGUGAAACCGAGUUGUGAAUUUCGGCGUGACCGAAGUGCAUAACUGCCCUGCAGUUAUCCAUCUCGGUGCCACCGAGUUUUACAACUCGGUCCCACCGACAGCAAAGGGGUAUAUAUACUCCGAGGGCCGCGCGUUGAUUUCUACUUCAAAACGCUUCGCCCCCACACCCCUUGCUGCCGUCGCCUGGUCUCCGGAUCGUCUCCGUCGUCGCCUGUGCGCCCUCGCCGCAGGUCUCCGUCGCCGUCAACAGACAUCUUCUCCGCGCCGUUGCCGCCGUAGAGGAACUCCACCAAGUUAGGGUGAGUUUCGAUCCCACUCGUGCUCUCAUCUCCGAUUCAAUGCACGUUUGGUUUGCCUGUAAUCUUUCCACGAUUGAAAUCUUCCUGAACACAAGAUUAGUUCCUUUGAACGAAAUUCGAGUAAAAGUUUUAGGGUUAGGUUUCCGCCGAACACAUCUCGGUGAGACCGAUUUUACAUUCUCGGUAUGACCGAUUUGGCCUCUGGCCAUUGCACUGCACCUUUCGGUCCAACCGAGUUGUGCAAAUCAGUGUGACCGAAAUGAGGAUUUAGUGAAACCCUAGUGUUUUCGGCAGGACCGAAACCCACUUCGGUCCAACCGAAAGUGGUGUGAAUGCUUCUGUUUGAACACUUCGGAUUCACCGAAUUUUAAACUCGGACUAACCGAAAUGUCUUCUGUGAAAACCUAAUACUAGAAUUUGAACUCAUUCUGUUUGCAAAAUCUUCUGCAGUUUGUGAUAACUCUUCUACUCUGCCUACACCUUAUCUAUUCACAGGUUGUCAGCCAUGUCAGAUGCCAGUGACAGCCAGAACAGGUCUGAGUCACCUAUUGCUGAUAUUCCAGAGGCAGGCACUAGUCCUGAACCCAGCAGCUCAUCAGAUGAUGGUGAGAGGAGCACACCAAGUGGUUUGCCCCCUGCAGCCACCAGGGCCAGAAAGAAGAGGAACUCUGAUGAAGAAGAUUCUGAUUUCAUUGUUGAGGAAGAGGUCUCCUCCAAGCCAAAGAGAAAGGUUGUUGCCAAAGAGCCUCAAGGGCAGCAAACCAAGAAAGGCACCAGAAAAGUGAAGCAGUCCACUGUUGCCAAAAAGCUGAGUAUGGAAGAGGAAACUACAAGCAAGGUGAAGAAAACUUCCAAGAGGAAGAGGAUUGUGCAUGAUGAUGCAGCAGAAGAGGAUGAGGAUGAGGAAGCACCCCAGCCUCCUCAGAAGCCUAAGCUCAUGGGUGAUGCCAUCAGGGCUGGAGCCACUUCAAAGUCCAAGCCAUCUACUCCAGUCAAGGCAGCUCCAGCAAAGCCUGCUGCCAAGCCCAAGAAGACCGUCAGAAACAUUCUAGCGUCUGAAAAGAACAAGGAUGAUGUGCCACCAGCUGUGUCAGAUGAUGAGGCACCAGUUUUGCUGAAACUUCGUCCAAAACUGCCACUUCACAAUGAUGCUCAUCCUCAAGCUGAAAACAUGAAGGAAAGGAAGGAUAGAGGUCUCAGGCUAUGGAGACAAGCUGAUCCAUAUGCUGUGAGGAGAAGAACUGCUGUUGAUCCCAGAUUUCACACCAGAGAGCAGCAGGACUUCUAUGAGACUGUGCUGAUGGACAAGAAGCCCAUAGUGGCAGACACCAGAUUUGUUGAUUGGAAAUACAUUGACAGUGAAGAGCACAGAGACUUCUUUCCACAUGUGCAUGAGAGCUUCACUGCAUGUGGUGUUGCAGACUUCGUAGGUCAAAAGCUGACAAGUUGGAAUGAUGAAAUGAUUAUGCAAUUCUAUGCCACGGCUCAUUUCUAUCCAGAUGAAAAGAUCACAUGGAUGACUGAAGGCCAAAGAUUCUCUUCAACUGUAGAAGAAUGGGCAGAACUGCUGAAUGCUCCAGUGUAGAGAGAGGAUGAUGUUGAUGUCUAUGGCAUUCCCAAGAAGAACCAUGAAUCUAUGAAGAAUAUGUACAAGGAGGUUCCAGCUAAGGAUUUAGCAAUCUGGAAGCUUGGCUCAGUGUAUUAUCUCCAGGCAGGUCUACCUACCACAAACACUAUUCUGAGGCAUACCUUGAUGCCCAAGUCUGGAGAUCAUCGCAUGAUCAGAGGGUACUCUAUCAACAUGCUGCAUAUACUUGAUGAGAAGUCACCGUUCAAGGUGAUGGACUUGAUAGUUGAGACUAUUAAGAGGACUACAGCUGACCAGAAAAGGUCGUGUGGAUUUGCCCCGCAUAUUCAGAUGCUUAUCAAUGCCAAGUUUGGCACGGGCACAUUCUUGUUGGAUAGAGAACACCUACCACUGCAGCCUGAGCAUGAGGACAAUGAUGUUGUGAUGGAUGAGGAGGAUCCAACUUCUGUUGAAGGUCAAGCAAAGAUUGAAGCUGCCAAGAAAGCCAAAGCUGAGAAGGAAGCAGCAGCAGCAGCAGCUAAACCAAAGAGUGUUGGAGAGCAGCUCCUUGAAGCUACCCAAAGGAUUGAACAACGCCUGGCCAGCAUUGUACAGUCUCAGGAGAGCCUUGAGAGGAUUGUUGAAGACAAGAUCCAUGCUCUGGAUGUGAAGCUGACUGAAGUGCAAGUAACUGUCAACAAGCUUGAGGCAGAUAUCGAGGAAGCAAAGAGGGAGAAGGAAGAGCUCAUGCAUGAGAUGCAGGAUGACCUAGUCCAGGAUGCUUAUGAACAGACUGCUCCGGUUCCCACAGGACCCCGAUCAGCUGCUAUUCCAGUGACAGACACCAGGACUACAGCCUCAGCACCUCCCACAGCUCCAUCAGUUGCUCCAGCUCCAGCUCCAGUGACCACUCCUCCAGCUCCACAGACAUCAGCAGAAGUCUUCGCCGAUGCAGCCAUCUCAACUCCAAUAUCAACCCAGACAGGAGCCGCCAGCAGAGUCCCUAGUGACGUUUAGCUCUAUACUUUUCGAACUUUUUGGUAACUUGUUGCCAAAGGGGGAGAAAUUGUAUAGAUCAUAGGACUUCGAGAGAGAGAGUGCUGUUGUUUUUUUUGCGCUUUUGCUCUUUCGUUCUUUUGCGGUCUUUUUGAGAUUCUUUUGGUUUUCAUGACAUUCUGUGUGUUUGAUACUACGUUUGAUGAGUGCUUCGUCGUACUAUGCCUUAAUGUGUGCUUAAUGCUUAUCAUAUGCUAUUCCUAUCUUGUAUGACCAUUUACUCAUGUCUUGGUGAUUGGGUGCAUGCUAUUCAUUCUUAUCAUUUUGUGCGCUCCACCAAGAUGUAUGUGACAUGGAAGAGUGACCCAUGAUCCUAAUCGAUUGUGCAUUUGCAUUCAAACGCAAAUCUUAAAUAAUGCACAAAUUUAGGGGGAGCUCUUGCUUAUCACAUACUUCUCAAAGCGACGAUAUUAUUCAUUGAUUAUAUCCUUUGUCGAAGCUUUGAUCUAUAUGUUGUCAUCAAUUACCAAAAAGGGGGAGAUUGAAAGUGCAACUAAUCCCCGGGUGGUUUUGGUAAUUAAUAACAACAUAUAUAUCAAUGAACUAAUAGUUUCUUGAGAAUCAUUUCAGAAAGUUCAGUGAUAUGGGUAUGGCAAGGACUGAAGAAGUGGACCCCUCAAAAUGCUAAGGCAAGCAUUGGCAAAAGCUCAAGACUCCAUUUUUGGUUUAGUGAUCCAAGAUCACAUUGAGUCUAUAGGAAAGCCAAUACUAUUAAAAGGGGAUGAGGUUAUGAUAAUGAUCUGGUUGCUCAAAGUGCUUAGUGAUAUAUCUCCUAAACUAUCAGCAACUCUCACUUCCAUAAUACACUCAUAAGUAAUCUCGGUCCCACCGAUUUUCCAAACCCAGUCACACCGAGAUGAACCACCUCAGCCAUAUAGCCAAACCCUAGAAUUCUCGGAUUUUCUGAUUCUGAACUCGGUCUCACCGAAACUUGAGUUGCCAAGCUUCUGUAACCUUCUGUCAUCAAAUCGGUGUCACCGAGAUGAUGAAGUCGGUCCCACCGAGAUUGGCAAGCUCUUGUCUUUGGACGAAUCGGACUCACCGAGUUUGUAUUUUCGGUCCCACCGAAAAUCCCAACGUUCACAUGAUUUGAACUUUCGGUCUCACCGAGUUGUCAACUUCGGUCUGACCGAGAUUGGUCAAAUGUGUGUAACGGUUGGAUUUUGUGUGGAGGCUAUAAAUACCCCUCCACCCCCUCUUCAUUCGUGGAGAGAGCCAUCAGAAAGAACUACCACUCCUACCUUACAUUUCUGAGAAGAGAACUACCUACCCUUGUGUUGAGAUCAAGUAGCUCCACUCCCACCAUAUGAAACUUGAUCUCUAGCCUUCCCAAGUUGCUUUCCACUCAAUCCUUUCUUCCACCACAGCCAAAUCAGUGAGGAGAGUUGAGUGUUGGGGAGAUUAUCAUUUGAAGCACAAGAGCAAGGAGUUCAUCAUCAUCAACACCAUCUAUUACCUUUUGGAGGGUGGUGCCUCCUAGAUUGGUUAGGUGUCGCUUGGGAGCCUCCGUCGAGAUGUGGAGUUGAACCAAGAAGUUUGUAAGGGCAAGGAGAUCGCCUACUUCGUGAAGAUCUACCCCGAGUAAGGCUAGCCCUCCGUGGGCGUAGGCCAUGAUGGCAUAGACAAGGUUGCUUCUUCGUGGACCCUUCGUGGGUGGAGCCCUCCGUGGACUCUCGCAGCCGUUACCCUCCGUGGGUUGAAGUCUCCAUCAACGUGGAUUGACGAUAGCACCACCUAUCGGAACCACGAGAAAAAAUCUCCGUGUCUCCAAAUUGCGUUUGCUCUUCUCCACCUCUCUUUACUACAUGUGCAAUUUACUUUCCGCUGCCUAUACUCUAGAAUUGCAUGUGUAGGGUGAUACUUGACUUGAUCAUCAUUGUGAACUUGCCAAAAACUUGUCUUUAUCAAAAGGCUGAAUUUUUAUAUUGUCAAGUAGUCUAAUCACCCCCCUCUAGACAUACUUUCGAUCCUACAA